rnacentral:rRNA from 1 species
CUACGGGCGGCAGCAGUGGGGAAUAUUGCACAAUGGAGGAAACUCUGAUGCAGCAACGCCGCGUGGAGGAUGACGCAUUUCGGUGUGUAAACUCCUUUUAUAUGGGAAGAUAAUGACGGUACCAUAUGAAUAAGCACCGGCUAACUCCGUGCCAGCAGCCGCGGUAAUACGGAGGGUGCAAGCGUUACUCGGAAUCACUGGGCGUAAAGCGCGCGCAGGCGGCUAGAUAAGUUGGAAGUGAAAUCCUAUGGCUCAACCAUAGAACUGCUUCCAAAACUGUUUAGCUAGAGUCUGGGAGGGGAAGAUGGAAUUAGUAGUGUAGGGGUAAAAUCCGUAGAGAUUACUAGGAAUACCAAAAGCGAAGGCGAUCUUCUGGAACAGUACUGACGCUGAGGCGCGAAAGCGUGGGGAGCAAACAGGAUUAGAUACCCCCGUAGUC